rfam:Gossypium arboreum cultivar AKA8401 contig_51778_1, whole genome shotgun sequence.
AACCCAUGGUGAGGGCAUCACCUUAAUAAGUCCAUAUACCUCUCCUAUGCACCAUAUAGGGUUUCUAAGUCGAUUUGAAUGAAGGAAGAGAUAUCAUUCCUCCACUU